GUUGCCCUCCUAUUGGGGAGAACUCCGGACGAGAGAACCGCCGUACCCGGUCAGGACAAGACGGCGCACC
rnacentral:ncRNA from 1 species